rnacentral:tRNA from 1 species
CAAAAUGUAGCUUAAUCAAAGCAUCUCGCUUACACCGAAAAAAUACCCGCUCAGCCCGGGUCAUUUUGA